rnacentral:sRNA from 1 species
ACUAGGAUGGGUGACCUCCCG